GACGAACGCUGGCGGCGUGCUUAACACAUGCAAGUCGAGCGGAAAACUUCGGUUUUCAGCGGCGGACGGGUGAGUAACACGUGGGCAACCUGCCUCACAAUGAGGGAUAGCCUUCCGAAAGGAAGAUUAAUACCUCAUAACACAAGAGAAACGCAUGUUUCUCUUGCCAAAGAAUUUCGUUGUGAGAUGGGCCCGCGGCGCAUUAGCUUGUUGGUGAGGUAACGGCUCACCAAGGCUUCGAUGCGUAGCCGACCUGAGAGGGUGAUCGGCCACAUUGGAACUGGGACACGAUCCAGACUCCUAGGGGAGGCAGGAGUGGGGAAUAUUGCACAAUGGAGGAAACUCUGAUGCAGCACCGCCGCGUGAGGGAUGAAGGUCUUCGGAUUGUAAAACUCUGUCUCCUGGGACGAUAAUGACGGUACCAGAGGAGGAAGCCACGGCUAACUACGUGCCAGCCGCCGCGGUAA
rnacentral:rRNA from 1 species